rnacentral:misc_RNA from 1 species
UGUUCUAUUCCGCGGUGAAAUGGGAAUGCAAAUAAGAACAGGCAUGGAAUGGGAUUUCACUUCAUUUUGGGGCUACCCGAAGUGUUUCUGUUGUUAUGACAACACCAAUAGUAACAACAACUUCCAUCAGCAAUAACAAUGUGUACAUUUCAGCAUAUAUUUGUGUGCAUAAAUACAGGGCAGCUACACGGGUCGCUGCACAGUGGGUGAGAUCACGAUCCACCCAGCGGGUGGACAGCGGGUCGUACUACACUUUUGAAUGUGGAUUGGCUGGAUCUCUUCGGCUGUGGCCCAUUGUACAGGGUCUUGGGGUCUUGGCUUAGCCCCUGACAGGCAGACAGGCCGCCAGGCCGCGAAGAGCGCUAAUCAGCCCGAUUUGGCAACCUGGCUAAGAGUGCGACACAGCCAAUAGGCCCAGACAUGCGACGCUGUCGAUGACUGUUCGCUUGGGGCUCUCUUCGGUUCGGUUCGGUUCAGUUGAGUUCAGUAUUUGAUUUGAUUUGAGUUCGCCUCGUCUGGGGUUUCGUUCGCUUCGUUUUCGUUUUCGUGGAUUUCGAUUUCGUGCGACGGCAGUCGCCGCCUUCCCAUUGAUUCAAUUCAUUCUGUGCGCUCCGCUCCACCUGUACAGGUGAAACGAUUUCGACGGUAACGCCGGUUAUUGCACUAAUUGAAUUGUCGUCGCUGUCGCAGUCGCUGAUACCCUCGCUACCCUGCCACCGAAGUGGAAUCGAAUUGAAACACUCAACCGCUGUUCGUUCCAUCUGUUAUUAAAUCCGCAUAAUUUGUAAUCAAUAUUAUCGGCCAAGCACCGACAAAUACCUGGAACAUCGCAGAGUCAUUAAGUAGAGUGCAUUUUUGUGGUUCUGUAAAGUGAAUUUUUCAAGUGUGAAGUGGAGUUGGUGGCUGUGGGGGCUGUGGGGCUUGUUUACAAGAAGCAACAAUCAGUAGAGUAAACAUCGCGGGGAAUUUCUCAAUUGAACAGAACAUCUGCGGCUAUUUUCGGAAUUCAUUUAUUUAAACAGAGCAACAACUGCAGCAGCAGCAGAAGCGUCGCCGUUUCCAUCCGCUGCGUAACCUGCGCCGCAUCUUUCGGCGUCGCACCAUCAAC